rnacentral:sRNA from 1 species
ACCUCUCGGAGCCACUAAUGAACCGCCUGGAAGACAAGUGCCUGGAGUUGGUGGAGCACUUUGGCCCCAAUGAGCUGCGGAAGGUGCUGGUGAUGCUGGCAGCUCAGAGCCGGCGGUCCGUGCCCUUGCUGCGGGCCAUCUCCUACCACCUGGUGCAGAAGCCCUUCUCUCUGACGAAAGAUGUGCUCUUGGACGUGGCCUAUGCCUAUGGCAAACUCAGCUUUCACCAGACCCAGGUGUCCCAGCGCCUGGCCACCGACCUGCUAUCCCUCAUGCCCAGCCUGACUUCUGGUGAGGUGGCCCACUGUGCCAAGUCCUUCGCCUUACUCAAGUGGCUCAGCCUGCCCCUGUUUGAGGCCUUUGCCCAGGUGAGCCAGGGCCUGGCCCCAACUCAGAGAAGCUGGCUUCCUGGCCAUCUGCUGGGAACCAUUGCCUUAGUCGGGAAAGUAAAGCCAGUCUGAAAAUGCUCACUUGUGGGGGCAAAUACAUAUUUCUUGCAUUUUGGCUUAUUUUGAAAGGGCUGCUAUUCAGUUCUCAAAAAAGUGUUUGAGAACUGUUUCCUCUGUUCUUUCACUGACCAUUAUAAGUGCUUCCAUCCAUUUUGGGGUAGCUGUAGCAGGUAGCAGCAUGGCUGAUGAGACUGAGAAUCCACUGAGAACUGUCUACUGAAUCACUGAUCCCCCUCGCAAAGUGGAACUGUACAGAAAGAUGACACCUGCAGUUACGUUUAUGUGUGACCAGUCUAAACUAAGUUUACUGGCUGGAGAAUAUUUCUAAAUCCCUUAUCAGAAAGAAGCAGCUUCUAGGUGUCCCCAGCCUCUGUGGGUAGUUGCUG